GAUGAAGAACGCAGCGAAAUGCGAUAAGUAAUGUGAAUUGCAGAAUUCAGUGAAUCAUCGAAUCUUUGAACGCCUCUUGCGCUCCUUGGUAUUCUGAGGAGCAUGCCUGUUUGAGUGUCAUUAAAUUCUCAACUACACUGACUUUAAAUUGGUGUGGCUUGGAUUUGGGGGGAAAAUUGUUGUGGGCUUUUUGUAUAGUCUGCUCCCCUGAAAUUGAUUAGCGGUACCUUUGUGGAACUGUCUACAGGUGUGAUAAUUAUCUACAUCUUAGACAUCUGCUGGAAUGCUGCUUUCUAAACCUUACUUGUAUUGACAAUCUUGACCUCAAAUCAGGUAGGACUACCCGCUGAACUUAAGCAUAUCAAUAAGCGGAGGA
rnacentral:misc_RNA from 1 species